ACCGAUGACGGCGACUACAACAUCAAGUUGCGCAAUAUCCGUCGUUUUCUGGCCGAUGGCGACAAGUGCAAAAUCACGCUGCGUUUUCGUGGCCGUGAAAUCACCCACCAAGAACUGGGCUUGGCCUUGCUCAACCGCUUGCGCGAUGACUUGGCCGAUACCAUCUUGGUCGAGCAGUUCCCCCGCCUUGAAGGCCGCCAGAUGAUCAUGAUGAUCGCUCCGGCGCGCAAAAAAGCUGGUGGCGGUGGCGGCGCUAAACCCGCCGACGGCGGCGCAGACGCUGCCCACUAAACCCUAUUGCCCGCACUGGCGCAA
rnacentral:misc_RNA from 1 species